GGGGAUGUAGUUCAGUGGUAGAACACAUACUUAGCAUGCAUGAAGCCCUGAGUUCAAUUUCUACACCUCAA
rnacentral:tRNA from 1 species